rnacentral:rRNA from 1 species
AGUGAACGCUGGCGGUAGGCCUAACACAUGCAAGUCGAACGGCAGCACAGUAAGCGCUUGCUCUUACGGGUGGCGAGUGGCGGACGGGUGAGGAAUACAUCGGAAUCUACUUUUUCGUGGGGGAUAACGUAGGGAAACUUACGCUACUACCGCAUACGACCUACGGGUGAAUGCAGGGGAUAUUCGUACCUUUCGCGCUUGAACGAGCCGAUGUCGGAUUAGCUAGUUGGCGGGGUAAAGGCCCACCAAGGCGACGAUCCGUAGCUGGUCUGAGAGGAUGAUCAGCCACACUGGAAGUGAGACACGGUCAAGACUCCUACGGGAGGCAGCAGUGGGGAAUAUUGGACAAUGGGCGCAAGCCUGAUCCAGCCAUACCGCGUGGGUGAAGAAGGCCUUCGGGUUGUAAAGCCCUUUUGUUGGGAAAGAAAAGCAGCAGGUUAAUACCCCGCUGUUCUGACGGUACCCAAAGAAUAAGCACCGGCUAACUUCGUG